rnacentral:rRNA from 1 species
AGUGAACGCUGGCGGUAGGCCUAACACAUGCAAGUCGAACGGCAGCACAGUAAGAGCUUGCUCUUACGGGUGGCGAGUGGCGGACGGGUGAGGAAUACAUCGGAAUCUACUUUUUCGUGGGGGAUAACGUAGGGAAACUUACGCUAAUACCGCAUACGACCUACGGGUGAAAGCAGGGGAUCUUCGGACCUUGCGCGAUUGAAUGAGCCGAUGUCGGAUUAGCUAGUUGGCGGGGUAAAGGCCCACCAAGGCGACGAUCCGUAGCUGGUCUGAGAGGAUGAUCGGCCACACUGGAACUGAGACACGGUCCAGACUCCUACGGGAGGCAGCAGUGGGGAAUAUUGGGCAAUGGGCGAAAGCCUGACGCAGCAAUACCGCGUGGGUGAAGAAGGCCUUCGGGUUGUAAAGCCCUUUUGUUGGGAAAGAAAAGCAGCAGGUUAAUACCCCGCUGUUCUGACGGUACCCAAAGAGUAAGCACCGGCUAACUUCGUG